GUUUUUAAAUGAAAGCUCUAUCUUUAAUAACAAAAAAGUUAUGCAAAAUUUUCGAUCUAAAAAAGUACAUGUUAAUUGUAAAAAACCGAAAUUUCGAUUUUUCUCAAAAACUAUAAUUUUUUCAAUUUUGAUAAUUAUGUGCAAGGUGCCUCUUUGCGAGGAGUACUUGGCAGUUUUUAAAUGAAAGCUUUAUCUUUAAUAACAAAAAAGUUAUGCAAAAUUUUUGAUCUAAAAAAGUACAUGUUAAUUGUAAAAAAUCGAAAUUUCGAUUUUUCUCAAAAACUAUAAUUUUUUCAAUUUUGAUAAUUAUGUGCAAGGUGCCUCUUUGCGAGGAGUACUUGGCAGUUUUUAAAUGAAA